GUAGCCCGACUCCCUCACCGCUCAGCCAUCUGACUCCCUUAUGUUUAGUUUAAUUGUUUAUUUUAUAGUUAUAAAUAAAGGUGAAACUAUAAAAGUCAUGAUUUGCUUGCUCUAUAGAAAGUCAACACAAUUGAUCGUUGGUUUCACUUGUUGCUUGUCUACCCUUUUGGUUUGCCAUUUACUAUGUAGUCUACUGUUGGUAUUAUAGGCUUGUGUGCUGUCAGUUAUGUGUUUACUGCCUUUUUUCUUACUGUGCUGCCACAUGCCAAAGAAAAAUGUAAUGUAUGCAUUUGAUGAAUAAUAAAGUUUUGUUGUUUUACUAUGUCUGGCCAUUAAAUCCAUAGACAUAAUAAAGAAUGUCUAUGAUAAAAUCAUUAAGUGACCUAAAAACAGGUGUAAAGCCUGGUCAUUUCCGGUUAUUUUCUGCCACGAGGUACGAAGGCAAACAAGCAUCUAAGAGAAGCAACUACUAAAUCAAACUGAGAGCCCUCGGUCAGCAAUGAGCCCCUCCAGUAGCUCUUGCAGGGGCCCCUGGGAGCCUGAGACCCUCUGUUCCUCAAACUCCGCCCUGCUGAUUUGCCUACAGUAGGCUGGGGACACCAUGGAGGAGUCUGCAUCCGCACCCAGGUCAUGCAGAGGCCUGCUCAACAGAGUGCAACAGAGCAUGCUGAAAGCAACAACAGAGAAUGUUGAGUGUAAAAGAGGAUGCAACAGAGGAUGCUGGAGCAACACAGACCCCUCUCUACCUGGACAGCUUCUCUUCAGCCCUGCCCCCAAG